rnacentral:rRNA from 1 species
AGUAAUGUCUGGGAAACUGCCUGAUGGAGGGGGAUAACUACUGAAACGGUAGCUAAUACCGCAUAACGUCGCAAGACCAAAGUGGGGGACCUUCGGGCCUCAUGCCAUCAGAUGUGCCCAGAUGGGAUUAGCUAGUAGGUGGGGUAACGGCUCACCUAGGCGACGAUCCCUAGCUGGUCUGAGAGGAUGGCCAGCCACACUGGAACUGAGACACGGUCCAG